rnacentral:rRNA from 1 species
CCUACGGGGGGCAGCAGUGGGGGAUAUUGCACAAUGGGGGAAACCCUGAUGCAGCGACGCCGCGUGUGGGAAGACGGUCCUCUGGAUUGUAAACCACUGUCCCCAGGGACGAAGAUGACGGUACCUGGGGAGGAAGCUCCGGCUAACUACGUGCCAGCAGCCGCGGUAAUACGUAGGGAGCGAGCGUUGUCCGGAAUUACUGGGUGAAAGGGGAGCGGAGGCGGGACUGCAAGUUGGGUGUCAAAUCUACCGGCUCAACCGGUAGCCGCACUCAAAACUGCAGUUCUUGAGUGAAGUAGAGGCAGGCGGAAUUCCUAGUGUAGCGGUGAAAUGCGUAGAUAUUAGGAGGAACACCAGUGGCGAAGGCGGCCUGCUGGGCUUUUACUGACGCUGAGGCUCGAAAGUGUGGGGAGCAAACAGGAUUAGAUACCCGAGUAGUC